rnacentral:rRNA from 1 species
AUUGAACGCUGGCGGCAUGCCUUACACAUGCAAGUCGAACGGCAGCACGGGUGCUUGCACCUGGUGGCGAGUGGCGAACGGGUGAGUAAUACAUCGGAACAUGUCCUGUAGUGGGGGAUAGCCCGGCGAAAGCCGGAUUAAUACCGCAUACGAUCUACGGAUGAAAGCGGGGGACCUUCGGGCCUCGCGCUAUAGGGUUGGCCGAUGGCUGAUUAGCUAGUUGGUGGGGUAAAGGCCUACCAAGGCGACGAUCAGUAGCUGGUCUGAGAGGACGACCAGCCACACUGGGACUGAGACACGGCCCAGAGUCCUACGGGAGGCAGCAGUGGGGAAUUUUGGACAAUGGGCGAAAGCCUGAUCCAGCAAUGCCGCGUGUGUGAAGAAGGCCUUCGGGUUGUAAAGCACUUUUGUCCGGAAAGAAAUCCUUGGCCCUAAUACGGUCGGGGGAUGACGGUACCGGAAGAAUAAGCACCGGCUAACUACGUG